rnacentral:lncRNA from 1 species
UCUCACAUUUGAUGCAUUUUAAGUAUUUAAUAUAGAUAUUGCUUUCAUGGUUUCCAAUAAUAAUAAUGUUGUUUCGUUGACUUCCAAAUCACAUAAGGAAUGUUUGCACACGGUUUAUGUUUAAUAAUGUUGCAAUUCCAAAUCCGAGCCACAAAGGCUCUCAUGCUCUGAAAGACCUCUUAAUAUAUCGAUCUUGCACAUAUGCUGCAAAAGUUCCAUCUUGAACCAUAUCCCCACAGAACUAGCACGUCACUAGGCGUAAUGGGCAGUCCGAGGAUUGGUCUUUCUCCUAGCUGAGGAAAAAAAAGAAGAAUGGUAUGAGAAGAGUGCAUAAAAUGCAAUAAAUCUGCAGCAAUUUCUUAUGAGAAUAAAAUAUUAAAAGACACAUUUGAUUGAAAAUUUAACUACACAAAGGAAAGAACUAUGUUAAAUGUUAUGUAUGGAAUUCUAUUAGGAACUGCAACUGAGGAAAGAAAGUCAAAAUAUCAAUCUUGACUGCCAAUAAUUUUUUAGGUUUUAAGUCCAUAAUAUUUAUCAUAGGCAGUACUAACGAUGAAAAGUUCAUAGACAAAUGCCAAAAUCUGAGGCAUUAGAACAGUAACAAGACAACAAACAACACAGAUUAGCAAUGCAGCAAUAGACACUAUUUUUAGAAACAAUGAUUGAUGCCAACUUGGACACCUAAAUCAAAAAAACAAAUGAAAGGCCCAAAGAAACAUGCUACCAAACAAACCUCUAGAAACCAAUCUGCUUAGCAGCUUGCCAACAAUUAUAAUCCAAAGGAGGUCAAGUCUAAACUUUUUGAAACAAGACAAUACAACUACAUAUUAGGAACAAUUAUGAACAAUCCAAUUAUUACACAAAGAUAACAAGCAUAUAAAUUCUCUUCUGACAUACAUACAUUGUAACUGUGGAACUAAUUAACUUCACAAAACAACAUCAUUCUCAUUGGCAUUUUUGCUAAAGAUACAAUUUCAUUCAUACAAAUUUAAGAAAAAGAAUAGAUAAAUAAAAUAAAAAAUGUAUAAAUUACUGAUAUAAAUAAACAAAUAAUAACAUAAUUUCAUUCAUACAAAUUUAAGAAAAAUAAUAGAUAUUGUAAAACCAACCUUAAACGUGUAACAUGUCCAAUUAAUCAUUAAUUCAGCUCAUGGUAAAAGGUGUCAUCAAUCAAUUGAUCGACACGAGAGCAAGUAGAAAGAACUCUGAUCACAAACUCUUUAGGGGCCAGCCACACUCCUAUCAUUUCCUCCCCAAUUUGAGUUCUAGUAUUUCAUUUUAUCAUAAACUAUAAAGAAUAUGUGAAACCAAAUGAUAACCCAAUUCUCAGAAUAUAAUAUGUUUAUUUUACUUGAAAAAUACCAACUGAUUAAGCAAUAGAACAGUACCAAAAUGUAAUACUUGUCAAAACAAUGAGUCUAUCUUUGGUUGAAUAAGUAAACGGAUAAAUCCAUUCCUGGGCAUUACACACGUAAUUCUAAUUGAAGUAAACAAAUGUUACCUAUAUUCUUUUUUAUAAGGCCUAAAUAUAGAUUAAUACCCUAAACUUUGCAAUUAAUGCAAUUGAUCAUACACAUGCAUACACUUGUUAAGCAACUUACAACUUUAAGCUCAAACUUCAUGCAAUUAUAAGUUGGCNNNNNNNNNNNNNNNNNNNNNNNNNNNNNNNNNNNNNNNNNNNNNNNNNNNNNNNNNNNNNNNNNNNNNNNNNNNNNNNNNNNNNNNNNNNNNNNNNNNNAAAAGAGAGAGGAAAAAAAAGAGCUGAAAUUAAAACCCAUCACCAGAAGCUAUAAAUGAUCAAAACCCAUAAAGAUAAAGACAUUGUAACAAUCUAAGGAAAAAUUUAAUUUUAAAAAGGAAAAGGAAAACCUUAAUUAAAAAAAUUAAAACCCACUUAUAGAAACAGACACUUGUCAAACCCGAUAAAAGUAAAAUGUUUUAAAAUAAACCAAAAUUUAGUACCUAAAGGAAACAAAGCUAAACAACAAACGAAAAUAGAAAAACAAUAGUAUUUACCUGAGGCACCAGGAAGAGGAAUGCAUGUCUGGUGGGGAGAAGUGGCAAACGCCAUUUUAUCAAAACCUUUUUUCUAAAACAAAUUAACAAAAACACAAAUCUUUGCCUGUUAAUGCAAUUGUUUUAAACAAUUUCUCAUGUCAAAAGCAAUUAUUCUAAACAUUUAAGGAAGUUUUCAGAACUUCUUCUCACUCCCAGUCCCAGCUCAGCUAUACCCCUCAAUUACCACAUUAUUUUCUUAAAUGAGUAAAAAAUAUUCGAAUGAUAAGUAGCCUAGCAUUUUUAAUAGGACAAAUUACAUGCUGGAAUGUGCUGAGAGAUGCUAAGAUGGAGCCUCCAAUCCAAGCACUAUACUUUCUCUCCGUAAGUUCUUCAGAAACAGUAUCAGAGUUCAGAUUAAUUUGAACUACUAGCAGAUUGAAAGGUUUCAAAUAGGUAAAUUUAUUUUUUGGAUAAAGAUAGAUGGGUUCCCAAUUCACAGUUUUCAAUUCUUAACCUUAUAAUUCGAAAACUCAAUGACAAAUCCUUAUAAUUCGAAAACUCACCGACAAAUAUUCACGCUUAGCCGCGAUUAGAGGAAUCGCCGCUGAGAUUGAGAUUGUGUCGUUACAUAGAAAUCGUACAAGGAUUCGCCGCUGAGAUUGUGUAGUUGCAGGUAAAUCGCUGCUAGAAAAAUCGCCGUUGAAAUUGUGGUUUUUUGCUUUGCCUGAUGGGGGUAAUUAUUUCGUCCAAAAAUGAGUUUAAUCCUAUCCGUUUAGUUAUACCAGUGGACGAUGAGUUAUGAUUUUUAAUCACAAGUGUUCAUAAUUGAAUUAUAAGGUAGAGAUUAGAUUUAUAUUUUUAAUUUAGACUAUAAAAUAAUAUGAAUUUUCUAACAUGCGUUAUUAUACUCGCAUAUGCCACUGAUAUUAAAUUUCUACUUAACAUUAGCGAUAUAUUUGACAAAAAU